GCCUCCGUGGCGCAAUCGGCUAGCGCGUUCGGCUGUUAACCGAAAGGUUGGUGGUUCGAGCCCUACCGGGGGCG
rnacentral:tRNA from 1 species